rnacentral:tRNA from 5 species
GCACCCUUGGCUCAACUGGAUAGAGUACCUGACUACGAAUCAGGCGGUUGCAGGUUCGAAUCCUGCAGGGUGCAUCA